AAAUUGAUUUUGGCACUCCUC
rnacentral:miRNA from 1 species